CGCGCCUAAGAGACGGAGAAAGGAACGCGGAUCGACUCGCCGCCGCCUUACUGCAACCCGACCCGAGGAGAAGACUGGCGGCGCCGAGGGCGAUACACCACAGUUACUUCGCACAUCUACCGCCACGGCUCAACGAGUUGCCUGAUGAGGUAUCGAUAUUCACAGUGGAGGGCGUCGCGCUCUACCCGGAGACGCGGUACAAGCCUAGUCUCGAAAUCAAGUACAAAUAGCGGUCAACCGUCUGCGAACAUGAUUGAGAGAUAUCAAUAUUCACAGUGGAAGGCGUGGCGCCGUGCCCGGAGGCGCGGCACGUAGCCAAGUGAGCCACCGAGCCUAGUUCAAUCCGUUCUGCCGCGCCCGACACGUGUGCUGUACUGUGCCCUAGCGUAGGCAAGUUUCAAUUCCUAUAGUGUUAAUCGACAGAAAUAUGGUUGACUCGUAUUCGGUGGACCAACGUUUCGUGAUGUGUAGGUUAGGAGCCGACGAACGGGCAUCGAAUGCCGGGCAGUAUUCGUUCCGAGCCGAGGCGUAUUAUUUGUCGAUCCGUCGAUUGUUUGUCGAAUAUUAUAUUAGCGCUUGUUAAGCUUCUAACGUAAUAUCCAUCCAUAUAAUUCAAUUAUUCUAUGGUGACAAGGUAAACUGAUAGGUAUCGAGUGUAUGAAUUUAAUGUAUAAAUAUAUAAACAGAGCAGUGUGCCAUAUACCUAUAGGUAGGUAUAUCUAUAAUUGAGAAGAGUAUGACGUGUUAUUUUAAAAGAUUUUUACGCUGGAUAUAUGCUCAUAAUUUGAGAAAAAUUUUGAAGAUGUUUAUUUAUAUUUACAAAUGGAUAAUAUCGAUGUGAUUUAACUCUUGAUGCACUGUUCAAUGCUAAUCCUGUUAAAACGCGGGGCCCUCUAAUCUAAUCAACAUACCGAGCGAUGUACCUAAACUCGCACAACAAAUAGCAAAACAAUUUGCGCAUGUCGUUUUUCUGUCGCACUAUUGCCCUAUUUUAUUUCUACUAAUUUCUAACUAUGCCAUACUAGCGGUUUAAAAGUAACAGUGUCUCAGAAAAACGCCAUGUGCAUGGAAGCAAAGGCCCCGCGGUACCCUGGCUGUCUAAGUCUUAUGCACACUCAUUCCUUCCACGGUGCUCAAAUAGUUUGAUAGGGUAGGCUUGUGUCGGUCGCGAAC